rfam:Parcubacteria (Moranbacteria) bacterium GW2011_GWE2_35_2- TR69_C0003, whole genome shotgun sequence.
UGGGGCGUAGCCAAGCGGUAAGGCAGGGGCCUUUGAAGCCCCCACGCGUAGGUUCGAAUCCUACCGCCCCAA